rnacentral:misc_RNA from 1 species
GUAGGUGAACCUGCGGAAGGAUCAUUAGAAAGUCCGACGCCGAAAGGCGUCCCACCUUCCAAACCAUUGUGAAACUACCCGUUGCUUCGGCGGCGUUGGGGAGGCCCCUCCGGGCCAUCCCUCGUCAGUCCGCCAGAGGCUCCAACAUCAAAACCUUUUCCGUAACAGUAGUCUGAACAAACUAAGAUUUAAUUCGUUAAAACUUUCAACAACGGAUCUCUUGGUUCUC